rnacentral:piRNA from 1 species
UCACACAGAUUGUGGCGUUAAUUACAAA